CCUACGGGUGACAGCAGUGGGGAAUAUUGCACAAUGGGGGAAACCCUGAUGCAGCGACGCCGCGUGAGUGAAGAAGUAUUUCGGUAUGUAAAGCUCUAUCAGCAGGGAAGAAAAAAGACGGUACCUGACUAAGAAGCCCCGGCUAACUACGUGCCAGCAGCCGCGGUAAUACGUAGGGGGCAAGCGUUAUCCGGAUUUACUGGGUGUAAAGGGAGCGUAGACGGCGCGGCAAGUCUGAAGUGAAAGGCAGGGGCUUAACCCCUGAACUGCUUUGGAAACUGCCAUGCUAGAGUGCUGGAGAGGUAAGUGGAAUUCCAGGGGUAGGAGUGAAAUCCGUAGAUAUCUGGAGGAACAUCAGUGGCGAAGGCGACUAUCUGGCACAUAACUGACGCUGAGGAGCGAAAGCGUGGGUAGCAAACAGGAUUAGAUACCCUUGUAGUC
rnacentral:rRNA from 1 species